rnacentral:rRNA from 1 species
AAAAAAUGCAAGUCGAGCGAACAGACGAGGAGCUUGCUCCUCUGACGUUAGCGGCGGACGGGUGAGUAACACGUGGAUAACCUACCUAUAAGACUGGGAUAACUUCGGGAAACCGGAGCUAAUACCGGAUAAUAUAUUGAACCGCAUGGUUCAAUAGUGAAAGACGGUUUUGCUGUCACUUAUAGAUGGAUCCGCGCCGCAUUAGCUAGUUGGUAAGGUAACGGCUUACCAAGGCAACGAUGCGUAGCCGACCUGAGAGGGUGAUCGGCCACACUGGAACUGAGACACGGUCCAGACUCCUACGGGAGGCAGCAGUAGGGAAUCUUCCGCAAUGGGCGAAAGCCUGACGGAGCAACGCCGCGUGAGUGAUGAAGGUCUUCGGAUCGUAAAACUCUGUUAUUAGGGAAGAACAAAUGUGUAAGUAACUAUGCACGUCUUGACGGUACCUAAUCAGAAAGCCACGGCUAACUACGUGCCAGCAGCCGCGGUAAUACGUAGGUGGCAAGCGUUAUCCGGAAUUAUUGGGCGUAAAGCGCGCGUAGGCGGUUUUUUAAGUCUGAUGUGAAAGCCCACGGCUCAACCGUGGAGGGUCAUUGGAAACUGGAAAACUUGAGUGCAGAAGAGGAAAGUGGAAUUCCAUGUGUAGCGGUGAAAUGCGCAGAGAUAUGGAGGAACACCAGUGGCGAAGGCGACUUUCUGGUCUGUAACUGACGCUGAUGUGCGAAAGCGUGGGGAUCAAACAGGAUUAGAUACCCUGGUAGUCCACGCCGUAAACGAUGAGUGCUAAUGUUUAGGGGGUUUCCGCCCCUUAGUGCUGCAGCUAACGCAUUAAGCACUCCGCCUGGGGAGUACGACCGCAAGGUUGAAACUCAAAGGAAUUGACGGGGACCCGCACAAGCGGUGGAGCAUGUGGUUUAAUUCGAAGCGACGCGAAGAACCUUACCAAAUCUUGACAUCCUCUGACCCCUCUGGAGAUAAGAUUUUCCCCUUCGGGGGACAGAAUGACAAGUGGUGCAUGGUUGUCCUCAACUCAUGUCGUGAAUGUUGCGUUAAUCCCGCACCGA